rnacentral:siRNA from 1 species
GAUGUAACUGGUAAGAAUGACGAA